rnacentral:rRNA from 1 species
UACGUAGGGGGCAAGCGUUGUCCGGAAUCAUUGGGCGUAAAGCGCGCGUAGGCGGCCCUGUAAGUCCGUUGUGAAAGUCAAAGGCUCAACCUUUGAAAGCCGAUGGAUACUGCAGGGCUAGAGUCCGGAAGAGGCGAGUGGGAAUUCCUGGUGUAGCGGUGGAAUGCGCAGAUAUCAGGAGGAACACCCGUAGCGAAGGCGGCAACUCUGGGCCGAUACUGACACUGAGGAGCGAAAGCGUGGGGAGCGAACAGG